rnacentral:rRNA from 1 species
UCAAGAAACUUCCACAAUGGGCGAAAGCCUGAUGGAGCGACGUCGCGUGAUGGACGAAGUGCUUCGGCACGUAAACAUCUUUUUAUGUGGGAUGAAAUUAUUGACAGUACCACAUGAAUAAGGGGCUCCUAACUCUGUGCCAGCAGGAGCGGUAAUACAGAGGCCCCAAGCGUUAUCCGGAAUCACUGGGCGUAAAGGGUGUCGAGGCGGUUGUAUUAGUCGUUCGUAAAAUCUACGAGCUUAACUUGUAGGCGGCGAACGAAACGGUACGACUUGAGGUUUGGAGAGGUGCGUGGAACUCACGGUGUAGGGGUGAAAUCCGUUGAUAUCGUGGGGAACACCAAAGGCGAAGGCAGCGCACUGGCCAAAAUCUGACGCUCACACACGAAAGCUAGGGUAGCGAAGAGGAUUAGAUACCCUCGUAGUCAG